GGGAGAGUUCCCGAGUGGCCAAAGGGAACAGACUGUAAAUCUGUCGUCUACUGACUUCGAUGGUUCGAAUCCAUCCUCUCCCACCA
rnacentral:tRNA from 1 species